GCCGGCGUAGCUCAGUGGAAGAGCGAGGGUCUCAUAAUCCCUAGGCCGUGGGUUCGAUUCCCUCCGCCGGCACCA
rnacentral:tRNA from 1 species